CCUUACCCUAUAGUCACAUUAGCUACAAAAGACAGCGACAUGCACUCACUUUAUGGGCCUUCCUGGGCAUGUCUAGCCUACUCCUGGUUGCUUGACAAAAGUAAACAGAAAAUUCUCCGUAAGAAUCUAGGUU